CAACUGUGUUCAGCCCUUUUCCCUUUCUGCCCUCUGCCAUGUGAGGUCACAGUGUUCCUCCCUCCUGAGGAUGCAGUGUUCAUGAAAGCAAACACUGGGCCCUCACCAGGCAACAAACCUGCUGGUGCCUUCAUCUUGGACUUCCCAGCCUUCGGAACUGUUAAGAAGCUCCACUGCGCUUUGUCCAUUGCAAGUUGAGAAGUGAGGCCCCAGCUGUCACAUACAGUGAGUGAAGAAGCUGAGCUUCCCUCAACGCCUGGGCCUGUAUGAAUUUUUUUUUUUUUUUUUUUUUUGGAGACGGAGUCUCACUUUGUUGCCCAGGCUGGAGUGCAAUGGCACUAUCUCAGGCCACUGCAACCUCUGCCUCCCAGGUUCAAGCGAUUCUUCUGCCUCAGCCUCCUGAGUAGCUGGGAUUACAGAAGUGCACCAUUACAGCUUGCUAAUUUUUGUAUUUUUAGUAGAGAAGGGUUUUCACCAUGUUGGCCAGGUUGGUCUCGAACUCUUGGCCUCAGGUGAUCCGCCCGCACAGCCUCCCAAAGUGUUGGGAUUACAGGCGUGAGCCACUGCGCCCGGCCUUAGGUAAGUUCCUUUUUUUUUUUUUUUGAGACGGAGUUUCACUCUGUUGCCCAGGCUGGGGUGCAAUGGCAUGAUCUCGGCUCACCGCAACCUCUGCCUCCUGGGUUCAAGCAAUUCUCCUGCCUCAGCCUCCUGAGGAGCUGGGAUUACAGGCAUGCACCAUCAUGCCCGGCUAAUUUUGUAUUUUUAGUAGAGACGGGGUUUCUCCAUGUUGAGGCUGGUCUCAAACUCCUGACCUCAGGUGAUUCACCCGCCUCGGCCUCCCAAACUGCUGGGAUUAUAGGCAUAAGCCACCGCGCCCGGCCUUAGGCUCCAUCACAAGAGGGAGCCCCAUUGCUAGUCCCCAUCCUCAAAGCCUCUGCGUGAUGUUGUCUACUGUUACUCUUCACUACCCUGUGGGAGCCAAAGCCCUGGACAUAAGAACAGAAGGCAAGCAGUGGUGGCUGAGAGGAAGAACUGACACCUUUGUGCUAUCAGAGCACUUUGCAGAGGAGCUGUUAGUGGCCCUGUAGGAGUCUGCUGGCCAUACAUCUGGGUGUCAAAUCAAGAGAGCAUGAGAAGUUGGACAGGAAAGGUCCAAGGCAAAAUGGUUACUAAAGGCCAUCCCUGAUCCUGACCCUAAAAGAAGAAAAGGCCCUUUGCUCUUGGCAUGCUUUUGCAGGAGUGUCUCAGUCUGUUUGGGCUGCUAUAACAUUGACUGGGUGAUCUGCCUGCCUGGCCUCCCAAAGUGCUGGGGUUACAGGUGUGAGCCGCUGCACCAGGCCUUGAGGUCAGGAGUUCGAGACCAGCCUGGCCAACAUGGUGAAACCUGUCUUUACUAAAAAUACAGAAAUUAGCCAGGCAUGGAGGCGCAUGCCUGUAAUCCCAGCUACUGGGGAGGCUGAGGCAGGAGAAUCGCUUGAACCCAGAAGGUGGAGGUUGCGGUGAGCCCAGAUAGUGCCAUUGCACUCUAGCCUGGCCAACAAGAGUGAAACUCUGUCUCAAAAAAUAAAUAAACAAACAAACAAACAACAA
rnacentral:lncRNA from 1 species